ensembl:lncRNA
UAGACUUUAAAACAGUCCGUGUGAACGUGUGUGCUCUUGUUGAUUACCUUUGGUGCACUUUCUGCAAAUUGUUAAAAAAAGACCAAUUAUGCAGGUUAUUAAUCAUAAGUUUCGAAGCAAAACAGGAAAAAUGUCUGUGAUGACAGAAAAGGCAGGAUAGAGACAGAGAAGAAUAUUUUAGCUUUGUUGAUAUGAUGCAAAAUGAGAACCGUUUUUCAAGUGCGCAACAGGAAGUAAAUAGCAGCGCAGCUUUCAGGAAAUAUACCCAUUGUUAUAGUUACAGUAAUUAGCUCGUAGUUUCUGUUGUUGUGAAUUAAAGACGAGGGCUGGGGUUGUAAAUAAGUAUACCAAACAUAAUUUUUGUGACGCUUCUUAAAGGAACUUUUAAAGAACACCGAUCACAUGACCUGUUUAAUUUCGCCUCAUUUAUUUUCUGGUCAGUGAGUGUAAUGCACCUGGUAAAGUCAACAGAAAACUUCACAUGUUCUUCCACGUUCGUAGAAAGGAGCUCAUGGUUCGUAGAGACAGCUGCCAGAGACGGAGGAACGCAAGAACAGGGAGAAAAUGAUCUGCAGGAUCCUGCUGCUCAUCAUCCUCACCUCAUGUGUCUCUGGAUCAUUUGUAGUCAAUGUGACACAGACCUCCUAUCAGGCAGAGGAGAACCACAACAUCACACUGGAGUGGACGUUCACCACCAAACCUGACAGAUCCACAAAAACUCUCAACAUCCUCUGUGAACUGAUAACUGAUAAAGUCUCAGUCCUGUAUCAGGUUCAUGAAGGUGUUGAGGUGUCAGAGUCUCAGGAUGCAAAGUUUUCAGGACGAGUCCAGAGUGACAAAGACGCCCUCAGAGAAGGACGAAUCAGACUUCAACUGUCCAGACUCAGGACUGAUGACUCGGGUCUAUACCAGUGUGAGGUCAACACUGAUUAUGGUUACAGCUCUGACGACUGUCAACUCAAUGUCACUGCAGCUGCAGAUGAACUCAAAUCUAAGAGACCAACUUUAAAAUCACAAAAAAACAAUAUCUUAAUUGGAGUGACAGCAGUUGGAGUGGCAGUAGUUUUAAUCAUUGCGUGUACAUCUCUGUAUGUCAUGUUGAAAAAAAUAAUAAUUCACCGUAACCUCUAUGCUGAUGUAGAGAUGUUGAGUGUCUCAGAAAAACAAACUGGGACUGACAGGAUUCUCUGUGCAGGACCAACUUUGGAUCAGAGCGAAUCAUCAGUCACACAAAGAAAAGACUCUGAGCUGCUUUAGGUACAGGAAGUGAUGUGUGGUGUGUAACAUGACUUAUGUUAAAUCGGGCUCGUAUUAUCCUGGGAUUGAAUUCACAGCUGUAAUGAGUAAAGGGGGGACAGUUUUUGCCACCAAAAUCCACCUGUGCUGCACACUGGUAUUACUGGUGUGUGCCCGUGUCUGCGUGUGUGUCCACAUAUGCCUGUGCAGAUGGAGGCGAUACAGUUAAGCUGAAAAAGUAUUCGAUCAACAAAUGACUUAAACAAUGACGUCUAACCCAAGAGCAAGCAAAAGUCACGACAAGAAAUCACAAGGCCUGGAAGUGCAUCGUUGACCAAGAUGGAAACCCUGUGGUACCCACGGCGACGUCUUGGCCUCGUGGACGACCUCGGUCUGCCAGCUAAGGACAAAAGAAGACGAAAGAAAGAAUCAUUAAUGUGUCUGAAGGGAGAGUUUAUUUCUUACCCUUCUGAUUACUGAUGGAUGUUGUAGUACAGAGCGCUGCCUUUUCUAAUCUUUCUGUUAAAAAAAAUGUACAUAUUGUAAAUACAUAUUCAUUUUUAUGGGUUUGAAUUUUUCUGAAUUUUCUGUUUAUAAGUCUAUUUUUAAACUGUGUAUGUUCCCAGGUUCCAAAUACUGUGUCACAAAUAACUAUAAUGAAGGGAACUGACUGAGAAACCAUCAUAAAGUUUUCUUUGAGACUGUAUGAGUAAAAGACACUAACACUAAAACACAGAUUUCAGAAAGUAUUAAAACAGAGAAAUGUAAUGUGUGGUGUUGAGUGUCAUACUUUUCCAUGUUGGCCAAAUGGAAAAGUUUUAAAAUACAUGGAAAUGUAUUUUAAAACAAGACAACAAAAUAGUUUUUCAUGUUACUAUGAAUAACUUUGCAUGUAUGUAUAUUUAUGUAUGAGAGAAGAAAAAAAUGGGUAAAAACAUAUUUUGGGAUAAAACCAUAAUAUUUAAAAAAGUAGAAAUUUAAAAAAUGAACUGAAAAAAAAGUAAAUAAGGAA